GAGGAAGUAAAAGUCGUAACAAGGUCUCCGUAGGUGAACCUGCGGAGGGAUCAUUACACAAUAACAAGGCGGGCUGGACACCCCCCGCUGGGCACUGCUUCACGGCGUGCGCGGCGGGGCCGGCCCUGCUGAAUUAUUCACCCGUGUCUUUUGCGUACUUCUUGUUUCCUGGGUGGGCUCGCCCGCCCUCAGGACCAACCACAAACCUUUUGCAAUAGCAAUCAGCGUCAGUAACAACGUAAUUAAUUACAACUUUCAACAACGGAUCUCUUGGUUCUGGCAUCGAUGAAGAACGCAGCGAAAUGCGAUACGUAGUGUGAAUUGCAGAAUUCAGUGAAUCAUCGAAUCUUUGAACGCACAUUGCGCCCUUUGGUAUUCCAAAGGGCAUGCCUGUUCGAGCGUCAUUUGUACCCUCAAGCUUUGCUUGGUGUUGGGCGUCUUUUGUCUCCAGUUCGCUGGAGACUCGCCUUAAAGUCAUUGGCAGCCGGCCUACUGGUUUCGGAGCGCAGCACAAGUCGCGCUCUUCGCCAGCCAAGGUCAGCGUCCAGCAAGCCUUUUUUUCAACCUUGACCUCGGAUCAGUAGGA
rnacentral:sRNA from 1 species